rnacentral:lncRNA from 1 species
UUUUUAUGCAGCACACAUGCCAUAAUCUAUUCCAAUGUGAUACUUCAGUGCAAAUAUUAAACUCAUAAUCUGUGAUUGAGAAAAAGAAUAUUGGUUGGAGCUGAAACUCAAAGAAUGGAGGAAAAUUUUCUGUUAACUGAAAAGUGAAGCCCACCAAUGGCAUUUAGUAAAGCAUCCCUAGUAGAAAAGGCAGCAUCUGAGACAGAGGAUGUAGGUGAAACACAUUGCUUAAAUUCUUUCCAAGAAACUGCAUCAUUCUUCAGCUUCCCUUAA